UCUCCGUUGGUGAACCAGCGGAGGGAUCAUUACAGAGUUGCAAAACUCCCAAACCAUUGUGAACGUUACCUCUCCCGUUGCUUCGGCGGGCGGCCCGGGACCCGCGCCCGGCGCCCCCCGGCCCUCCGCGGGCGCCCGCCGGAGGUAAACCAAACCCUUGAAUUGCAUGGCCUCUCUGAGUCUUCUGUCACGCUAAAGCUACAACUUUCAACCACGGAUCCUCUGGUACUGGUAACGAUGAAGAACGCAGCAGAUCGGACGAGCAUACGUCUGAAACAC
rnacentral:misc_RNA from 1 species